UGGCCCUCUGGCGCAACGGUAGCGCGUUCGACUCCAGAUCGAAAGGUUAUCCGUUCAAAUCGGGUGGGGUCAU
rnacentral:tRNA from 1 species